UUUUAAUUUUAUAAAAGUGCCAAUUGAAAAAAAAACCUGUAAUUUGAUAAAUAAAUAAUGUUACCAUCCUCAUGGCUCGCAAGUCAGAUAGCUGGCCUUGUUACUUCCUGGUAGUUUAUCUCCAUGGAGAUUACCUCAAAAGAAGAGAAUUCCAUGUGGCACCUGGAUUGCAAAGAAUUCCCAAUAAACUGUAAACAUGCUUAUUUUCCUU